UAUAUUAAGUUGUUGCAGUUAAAAAGCUCGUAGUUGAACUUCGGGGUCUACCCGUUGGUCAGGCUUAAUUGUCUGUCUGGUGUAGAUGGAUCUACCUUUUCGAAGGAACUCUCAUGCUUUAUUUGGGUGUGGGUUGAAAUCAGGACUGUUACUUUAAAAAAUUAGA
rnacentral:rRNA from 1 species